GCGAGGCCGAAAGGCGUAGUCGAUGGGAAACGGGUUAAUAUUCCCGUACUUCUUACAAUUGCGAUGGGGGGACGGAGAAGGCUAGGUGGGCCUGGCGACGGUUGUCCAGGUUCAAGUGCGUAGGCUUAAGAGUUAGGUAAAUCCGGCUCUUUCUAAGGCUGAGACACGACGUCGAGCACCUACGGGUGUGAAGUCAUUGAUGCCAUGCUUCCAGGAAAAGCCUCUAAGCUUCAGAUUGUAAGGAAUCGUACCCCAAAC
rnacentral:rRNA from 1 species